GUCGAGCGGCAGCACGGGGAGCUUGCUCCCUGGUGGCGAGCGGCGGACGGGUGAGUAAUGCAUAGGAAUCUGCCCGGUAGUGGGGGAUAACGUGGGGAAACCCACGCUAAUACCGCAUACGUCCUACGGGAGAAAGCGGAGGAUCUUCGGACUUCGCGCUAUCGGAUGAGCCUAUGUCGGAUUAGCUAGUUGGUAAGGUAACGGCUUACCAAGGCGACGAUCCGUAGCUGGUCUGAGAGGAUGAUCAGCCACACUGGGACUGAGACACGGCCCAGACUCCUACGGGAGGCAGCAGUGGGGAAUAUUGGACAAUGGGCGAAAGCCUGAUCCAGCCAUGCCGCGUGUGUGAAGAAGGCUUUCGGGUUGUAAAGCACUUUCAGCGAGGAAGAAAGCCUGCCGGUUAAUACCCGGCAGGAACGACAUCACUCGCAGAAGAAGCACCGGCUAACUCCGUGCCAGCAGCCGCGGUAAUACGGAGGGUGCGAGCGUUAAUCGGAAUUACUGGGCGUAAAGCGCGCGUAGGUGGCUUGGCACGCCAGGUGUGAAAGCCCCGGGCUCAACCUGGGAACGGCAUCUGGAACGGCCAAGCUAGAGUGCAGGAGAGGAAGGUGGAAUUCCCGGUGUAGCGGUGAAAUGCGUAGAGAUCGGGAGGAAUACCAGUGGCGAAGGCGGCCUUCUGGCCUGACACUGACACUGAGGUGCGAAAGCGUGGGUAGCAAACAGGAUUAGAUACCCUGGUAGUCCACGCCGUAAACGAUGUCGACUAGCCGUUGGGACCUUUAAGGACUUAGUGGCGCAGUUAACGCGAUAAGUCGACCGCCUGGGGAGUACGGCCGCAAGG
rnacentral:rRNA from 1 species